UACGGAGGGUGCGAGCGUUGUCCGGAAUCACUGGGCGUAAAGGGCGCGUAGGCGGCCGAGCAAGGUCGCGGUGAAAGCCCGGGGCUCAACCCCGGGUCGGCCGUGGCAACUACUCGGCUCGAGCACUGUAGGGGCGGGUGGAAUUCCGGGUGUAGCGGUGGAAUGCGUAGAGAUCCGGAAGAACACCAGAGGCGAAGGCGGCCCACUGGGCUGCACCUGACGCUGAACCGCGAAAGCCAGGGGAGCGAACGGG
rnacentral:rRNA from 1 species